rnacentral:rRNA from 1 species
AGUGAACGCUGGCGGUAGGCCUAACACAUGCAAGUCGAACGGCAGCACAGUAAGAGCUUGCUCUUACGGGUGGCGAGUGGCGGACGGGUGAGGAAUACAUCGGACUCUACUUUUUCGUGGGGGAUAACGUAGGGAAACUUACGAUAAUACCGCAUACGACCUACGGGUGAAAGCAGGGGAUCUUCGGACCUUGCGCGAUUGAAUGAGCCGAUGUCGGAUUAGCUAGUUGGCGGGGUAAAGGCCCACCCAGGCGACGAUCCGUAGCUGGUCUGAGAGGAUGAUCGGCGACACUGGAGGUUAGACACGGUCCAGACUCCUACGGGAGGCAGCAGAGGGGAAUAGUGGGCAAUAGGGGCAAGCCUUAUCCAGCCAGACCGCGUGGGUGAAGAAGGCCUUCGGGUUGUAAAGCCCGUUUGUUGGGAAAGAAAAGCAGCAGGUUAAUACCCCGCUGUUCUGACGGUACCCAAAGAAUAAGCACCGGCUAACUUCGUG